rnacentral:rRNA from 1 species
UACGUAGGGUGCAAGCGUUGUUCGGAAUCAUUGGGCGUAAAGCGCGUGUAGGUGGUUAAGUAAGUCGGAUGUGAAAGCCCUCGGCUCAACCGGGGAAGUGCAUCCGAAACUACAUAGCUAGAGGACGGUAGAGGAAGGUGGAAUUCCUAGUGUAGAGGUGAAAUUCGUAGAUAUUAGGAGGAAUACCGGCGGCGAAGGCGGCCUUCUGGGCCGUUCCUGACACUGAGACGCGAAAGCGUGGGGAGCAAACAGG